AACAGAGGAGAAAUGGAAGAAGAGAAUAUGUCUGUCACUUUUGACUUGUUAACAUCUUGGUUUCUUGACUGGUUGUUGACAUAACGUACGCCACAUUUUA